AUUUUUAUUCAUUUUGUACUCUUCGUCUUCGUUCUUUUCUUUUUCUUUCGGCACUGUUGUUUUCGCGUCGUGAGAAACUAGAUCCCGAGGUUCAGACUUCCUCUGUCCCUAGGCGGGCGACGACCUCUGUUGCAGAACCAGAGGCCGUGCAACACACCACGUGACGUCCAUGGGUAGAGCGUGUCGUAUCGUCAACGAGCCUCCUCCCACAGGCUGUAGCGACACCGCACUGUUGGCCGCAGCACUACUGCUUACGCUGCUUUCAGAUUAUACUCUGCUUGAAGAGGACUCGGAAGAAUCUGACGAAGAACGCAGGAGAAACCGCAGUCAAAAUGGUAAUGAUGGUCGGAAGACUGGGGUGCCUGGUCGCCCACAACCACCAGCGACGCGUGCACCGAUUGCGUCAAUUGAGGAAAUUGACUGCUUCGACAACGACAUCGAACAGUCAUCAGGCGACGAGUCACCAGGCAAACCAGCAUCGCAGCGGCACCUGUUGCAGCGUCAGCGGCCGCGGAAACGGGGACAACCGCCCCGUUCCUCCGAACAACCUGCCCCGCUUGGAACCGGGCCAGCAGCGCCAGGCGGCAAGGAGAAACGCCGCAGCUGUGCAACGACGCAGAGGCUAGAACUCCUCUAGUGGCGCCCGCUUAUAGGGACCCGAAAAAGUAGAGA